GUCAUAUAACAUUGGAGCCAGAAGGAAUAUGACGAGACGACCAGCACAAGUCCAAGUUAGCCGAAGAAGCUACACACACACUGUCUGUUGUUUGGCUGACCACAAUGCGGAUAAAAUUCCAAGCGUACUGUUUAAAGCUGAACUUCUUACUUCAGGACUUGGAGAGCAAAAAGUAACAUUUUCAGGGAAUGACCACGAUCCCAUGGUUAUAACAAAUAAACUGAUGGAAGUGUUUCCGAAGCUCCAACAAGGGGGAGGCUUUGAAUUUCUAAAACUUGUAGGAUCUACUCGCAGUCUAAAUCUUGCGUUGCUUCAGUGUCCCAGCACUGGAUACACCCUUGCCUAUCUGAAAGAUCCAUCGACGAUGAUUGGACAGGCUACAAUCUACAUACGUCCACUUCAACAGGAUCUACCCUUAGAUUGUGAGAGCUCACGUCCUGCCUCUGGUCCAGUCAUCCCCUGCAUCACUUGUCAGAAGGAAGUUCCCUUUUCAGAGAUGAAGCUGCACAGAUUGAGCUGCAAUGGGACACCCAUGCAGGAAUCAGAAAGAGAACAAGAGGGAGGCCAAAGUGAAGAAAAUGAUAGUGAGACAGCCCUAGUCAGUGACAGUGUUCCAGUGAGGCCUGAAACAUCAGCUGAGAGUGCAGUAGUA